GCAUGACUAAAUUCUGCAUUAGCUCUUGUGUAGUUAAAGCAGCCAGACAUCAUGCUAGAUUAUCUUCACUUGAUUGAAAUUUGUGCCGUGUCCUGUCACAGUAACAUUCAAAAGGUGAAUACAAGU